rnacentral:rRNA from 1 species
UGACGGACUGGUGCACAUGUACGGUUGGAAGCCAAGUCACAUGCUUACAAAAGAGCCUCCAAACUCAAAGGAAUUGACGGGAGCGUUAUCCGGAUUUAUUGGGUUUAAAGGGUGCGUAGGUCGCCGAUUAAGUCAGCGGUGAAAUCCAGUGGCUCAACCAUCGGACUGCCGUUGAAACUGGCCGGCUUGAGUAUGAUUGAGGCAGGCGGAAUGCGUGGUGUAGCGGUGAAAUGCAUAGAUAUCACGCAGAACCCCGAUUGCGAAGGCAGCUUGCCAAGCCAUGACUGACACUGAAGCACGAAAGCGUGGGUAUCAAACAGGAUUAGAUACCCUGGUAGUCCACGCAGUAAACGAUGAUUACUAGGAGUUUGCGAUACAGUGUAAGCUCCACAGCGAAAGCGUUAAGUAAUCCACCUGGGGAGUACGCCGGCAACGGUGAAACUCAAAGGAAUUGACGGA